rnacentral:rRNA from 1 species
AAACCAUUCUACUUACCCCCUAGUAUCGGAGACAGAACAGGACCCUCGGAGCGAUAGAAAAAGUACCGCAAGGGAAAGCUGAAAAAGAAAUGAAACAAACCAGUUAAGCCCAUCAAAGCAGAGAUUAAACCUCGUACCUUUUGCAUCAUGAUUUAGCCAGCAUAACUCAAGCGAAGCGACCUUUAGUUUGAGACCCCGAAACUGAGUGAGCUACUCCAAGCCAGCCUAUCUAAUUAAGGGCACACCCGUCUCUGUGGCAAAAGAGUGGGAAGAGCUUCGAGUAGGGGCGAUAAACCUACCGAACUCAGUUAUAGCUGGUUGCCUGAGAAAUGAAUAUUAGUUCAGCCUCUUACCUUCUUCCACUCCCCACUAACACUUUUACCAAGGAUGAAAAGAAGAAAAGAGAGUUAGUCAAAGGGGGGACAGCCCCUUUGAAACAGACACAACUUUACCAGGAGGGUAAGGAUCAAACUCAACCAAGGAGUCACCCCUAAGUUGGCCUAAAAGCAGCCAUCUUUAAAGAAAGCGUUAAAGCUCAGACUACUACACUUACUCCCUUUAUUCUGAUAACCUACUCCAAACCCCCUAACCCUACCAGGCCAUUCUAUUAACAUAGAAGCGACCAUGCUAGAAUGAGUAAUCAGGGAAAAACAGCCUCCCUCAAGUCGCAUGUGUAACUCGGAACGGACCCCCCACCGAAUAUUAACGGCCCCAAGCACAGAGGGCAAUAAAACUACCCACCCCACGCUAGAAAACCUUUUACUGACCUAGACCGUUAAACCAACACAGGAGCGCACCAAAUGAAAGACUAAAAGAAAGGGAAGGAACCCGGCAAACCCCCCAAGCCUCGCCUGUUUACCAAAAACAUCGCCUCUUGCAACCCCAAGAAUAAGAGGUCCUGCCUGCCCAGUGACACUUAGUUAAACGGCCGCGGUAUUCUGACCGUGCAAAGGUAGCGCAAUCACUUGUCUUUUAAAUGAAGACCUGUAUGAAUGGCAAGACGAAGGCUUAACUGUCUCCCCCCUCCAGUCAAUGAAAUUGAUCUCCCCGUGCAGAAGCGGGGAUAAACACAUAAGACGAGAAGACCCUGUGGAGCUUAAGACAACAAGACCAACCUGUCAAAAAUAACAAAACAAAGCUAAACGAACUAAAUGGCCCUGUCCUUGUGUCUUCGGUUGGGGCGACCAUGGGGAACUAAAAAACCCCCACGUGGAACAAGAGCACCUCUACUCUCACAAACCAGAGGGACACCUCUAAUUAACAGAACUUCUGACCUAAAAUGACCCGGCUUAAGCCGAUCAACGAACCAAGUUACCCCAGGGAUAACAGCGCAAU